GCCCUGAAAACAAAAAUGUGAGAAAAGAAUCAUGACGGGCAGGAAACCAUUACACCACCACUCGGGCUGUGCUCCGGUGCACAUUAAAGAUCCAAAGUCAUGACUGACUCCAAGUAUUUCACAACCAAUAAAAAAGGAGAAAUAUUUGAACUAAAAGCUGAACUCAACAAUGGAAAGAAAGAAAAGAGAAAGGAGGCUGUGAAGAAAGUGAUUGCUGCUAUGACUGUGGGGAAGGAUGUUAGCUCUCUCUUUCCAGACGUAGUGAACUGUAUGCAGACCGACAAUCUGGAACUGAAGAAACUUGUGUAUCUCUACUUGAUGAACUAUGCCAAGAGUCAGCCAGACAUGGCCAUCAUGGCUGUAAACAGCUUUGUGAAAGACUGUGAAGAUCCUAAUCCUUUGAUUCGAGCUUUGGCAGUCAGAACCAUGGGGUGCAUCUGGGUAGAAAGAAAUUACAGAAUAUCUCUGUGAGCCCCUCCACAAGUGCUUGAAGGAUGAGGAUCCAUAUGUUCGGAAAACAGCAGCAGUCUGUGUGGCAAAACUCCAUGAUAUCAAUGCCCAAAUGGUGAAAGAUCAGGGAUUUCUGGAUUUUCUAUGGGAUCUCAUAGCAAAUGCAAAUUCAAUGGUGGUUGCUAAUGCUGUAGCAGCAUUAUCUGAAAUCAGUGAGUCUCACCCAAAUAGCAACUUACUCGAUCUGAACCCACAGAACAAUAAGCUGCUAACAGCCCUCAAUGAGUGCACUGAAUGGGUCCAGAUUUUCAUCUUCGACUGCCUGUCUAAUUAUAACCCUAAAGAUGAUCGGGAGGCUCAGAGUAUCUGUGAAUGGGUAACUCCCUGGCUAUCCCAUGCCAACUCAGCAGUGGUGCUUUCAGCGGUAAAAGUCCUAAUGAAGUUUCUAGAAUUGUUACCUAAGGAUUCUGACUACUACAAUAUGCUGCUGAAGAAGUUAGCCCCUCCACUUGUCACUUUGCUUUCUGAGGAGCCAGAAGUGCAGUACAUUGCCCUAAGGAACAUCAACUUAAUUGUCGAGAAAAGGCCUGAAAUCUUGAAGCAGGAAAUCAAAGUCUUCUUUGUGAAGUACAAUGAUCCCAUCUAUGUUAAAUGAGAGAAGUUGGACAUCAUGAUUCAUUUGGCAUCUCAAGCCAACAUUGCUCAGGUUCUGGCAGAACUGAAGGAAUAUGCCACAGAGGUAGAUGUUGACUUUGUUCAAAAAGCUGUGCGGGCCAUUGGAUGGUGUGCCAUCAAGGUGAAGCAAUCUGCAGAGCGCUGUGUAAGCACAUUGCUUGAUCUAAUCCAGACCAAAGUGAAUUAUGUAGUCCAAGAAGCAAUUGUUGUCAUCAGGGACAUCUUCCGCAAAUACCCCAACAAGUAUGAAAGUAUCAUUGCCGCUCUAUGUGAGAACUUAGACCCACUAGAUGAGCCAGAUGCUUGAGCAGCUAUGAUUUGGAUUGUGGGAGAAUAUGCUGAAAGAAUUGACAAUGCAGAUGAGUUACUAGAAAGCUUCCUGGAGGGUUUUCACGAUGAAAGCACCCAAGUGCAGCUCACUCUGCUUACUGCCAUAGUGAAGCUGUUUCUCAAGAAACCAUCAGAAACACAGGAGCUAGUCCAGCAGGUCUUGAGUUUGGCAUCACAGGAUUCUGAUAAUCCUGACCUUUGAGACUGGGGCUAUAUUUACUGGUGUCUUCUCUGGACUGACCCUGUCACAGCUAAAUAAGUAGUCUUGUCUGAAAAGCCACUGAUCUCUGAGGAGACAGACCUUACUGAGCCAACUCUGCUGGAUGAGCUAAUUUGCCACAUUGGUUCUUUGGCCUCUGUGUAUCAUAAGCCUCCCAAUGCUUUUGUGGAAGAAAGUCAUGUAAUCCAUCGUAAACACUUGCCAAUUCAUCAUGGGAGCACUGAUGCAGGUGACAGCCCUGUUGGCACCACCAUUGCAAUGAACCUGGAACAGCCUCAGGUUAUCCCCUCUCAAGGUGAUCUUCUAGGGGAUCUUUUAAACCUUGACCUUGGUCCCCCAGUCAAUGUGCCACAGGUGUCUUCCAUGCAGAUGGGAGCAGUGGAUCUCCUAGGAGGAGGACUAGAUAGUCUGCUUGGCGGGGGCAUUGGAGGAAGUCCGGCAGUAGGACAAUCCUUUAUCCCAUCAUCAGUGCCUGAAACCUUUGCUCCUUCACCUAUACCUGCUGUCAUCAGCAGUGGACUGAAUGACCUGUUUGAACUCUCUACAGGGAUAGGCAUAGCACCCAGUGGAUAUGUGGCUCCUAAGGCUGUCUGGCUACCUGCAGUAAAAGCUAAAGGCUUGGAGAUUUCAGGAACAUUUACUCACCGCCAAGGGCACAUCUAUAUGGAAAUGAACUUCACCAAUAAAGCUCUGCAGCAUAUGACAGAUUUUGCAAUCCAGUUUAACAAAAAUAGCUUUGGUGUCAUCCCCAGCACUCCUCUGGCCAUCCAUACACCACUCAUGCCAAACCAGAGCAUUGAUGUCUCCCUGCCUCUCAACACCUUGGGCCCAGUCAUGAAGAUGGAACCUCUGAAUAACCUGCAGGUGGCUGUGAAAAACAAUACCGAUGUCUUCUACUUCAGCUGCCUCAUCCCACUCAAUGUGCUUUUUGUAGAAAAAAGCAAAAUGGAGCGCCAGGUCUUUCUUGCAACAUGGAAGGAUAUUCCCAAUGAAAAUGAACUUCAUUUUCAGAUUAAGGAAUGUCAUUUAAAUGCUGACACUGUUUCCAGCAAGUUGCAAAACAACAAUGUUUAUACUAUUGCCAAGAGGAAUGUGGAAGGGCAGGAUAUGCUGUACCAAUCCCUGAAGCUCACUAAUGGCAUUUGGAUUUUGGCCGAGCUAUGUAUCCAGCCAGGAAACCCCAAUUAUACACUGUCACUGAAGUGUAGAGCUCCUUAAGUCUCUCAAUACAUCUCUCAGGUCUACGACAGCAUUUUGAAAAAAUAACAAGACUGGUCCAAUACACUCCAAUCACGCUGUGAUCAGUGCAAGCCAAGAACUCUUAACUGGAAGAAGCUGUAUUGCUGUGUAGAAUCUGAACCCAAACACACUAAGGCCACCCAACAAGGUAGUAACUAGUCUAACCCAUGCAAACAUUAGGGCACAACCUGUUGAAUAGCUUUAGCUUCCUGUGAACAUUUGUAACCACUGCUUUCGUCACCUCCCACCUCUCGCCACCUGCUGCUGCUAUCUGUCCUUACUUGUGGGCUUCUCCAUGCUGCACCAAUGGCUGGCUUUUUCUACACCCUCUUUUUGAGUAUAAUUUGGUAUUCUGUAAUUGAGAGCUCAUUUCAAAAGCAGAAAAAGACAACAAAUAUUAAAGCA